rnacentral:lncRNA from 1 species
AUGUCUCAUUGUAAAGUAGAUUUUUUUGCACCAUUCUUGUUCUUCCCUUUAACCGUAUCGCUUUUUAACACCUUUUCUAAAACUGUGGACAUCAGAACUGGGUGCAGAAUUUCUGUAAUGACCUUACUAAUGCCAUAUGUAGAAGAAAAACUGCCUUUCCUUGGUUCCUGUUCCUUUCUUUGUGCUCCCGGGGAUCACAUUCUCUCUCCGAGCUACAAAAUCACUCUGAGCUCACCUUCAGGUGGUUCCCUGUCAUUGCCCCCAAGUCUGCUGCAGCCUCACAGCAAUUUCAGAUGCUGUCUCCGGUCUUGUCAAGGUGACCGACGUUCUCCGGAGCUGGAUGUACGACCUGGCGCUGACUCCAUUAAAAGAUUCCUCAUAAGGAGAAUGAACUGUGAUAGGUCCAGAAAGCUGUCUCUGUGACUCCACUGGAAACAUCUCCCUGGAACAGCAAUUCCUCAGGUAUCUUAACUGCUUGGUUUCUACAGAAAGUUUAAGCUAUGCCCAUGUACAGCGCACCUGCUGCUUUGCUGAAUAUGUCAAGCGUGUCUGUGCAGACUACACCUGCUGCGCUGGCCUAACGGGAACAGGAUACCGCUGACUCUUCUGAUCCACUCCAGCUUUUCUUGGCUUGCCUCCGAGAAAAACAUCUUUAAGGGGUAGAUGUGUUAGAAAAAAAUCUGACCAAAAGGUCAGUGGCACCUCCCGACUAAAAAGUGAUACGCUUGCUCAGACCUGACGCUUCAGAAAUGUGGGCUGACAUGGUUGUAAGGUUUGUCUAGGUUUUACAUUAUUACUCAAAUUGUCCACUUGUGGAAGCAGCAAGAACAGUUCUGGGAAUGAUGUGGUCCAGCCUGAAUUAAAUAUGAAACACCUAAAGGUUUAUUGUUCGGCAGGUCCUCGUACUCUCAGAGAUACCUUACUGCAUCUGGAUUGAGCGCAUGCAGGAGCUACUGCUUUCUGAUAACUGACAUUCAACAUUAUUACUAUUAUUUGUCACUCUUUUAGUCAUAAAACAGGUUACUGGGAGUUUGCAGAAAAGAGAUGUACCGCACCCAAAAGAGAUGCACUUGGGACACUUAAAAUGAAAUCAGCAGUCCAUUACGUGAUUGCCUUUUCCUGGCUAAGAAUACCAAGCAGAACCUCUGCUAUAAAAUUAAGCAUGUCGUAACUUGCUCUGUAGCCUUUGACCACCUCAGAAAUCAUGAAAAGCAAGUGAAGCAUUUCAGCAUGUCUGGAAGGUCUGGAUAAUAUGGGACACAGAUUAGGAAGCUUAUGACUGAUUAGUCGCUCAGCAUGGUUUGCAUACCUCAACAUACUUUGUUCCAAGAGAAGCAUGUGCCUUGUCAUCAGUGCUGCCACAGCAAAUUUUUAAGGAUUGAUGAAGCAAAGAUAGAGGACGGCAUGUUGAUUUAGGAAAGGUGGGAAGGUAAUUUAGUUGUCAGGACAAAUAAGGGAGGGGUGGGUUUUUGCAGCAUUAUAUGGAGUAGGGGAGAAAAGGGAAGUCAAACAUGAUCUUCAGUUUAAUCAGCCAGAAUGCAAGAAAAAAAAUGGUGUUAUUAAGUGUACUAGUUAAGAGAGGUAAUAGAAAGAGUUUAGAAGAAAGUGAGUCCUCUGGGAAGCUUGAUCUGAAUUCUACUGUUUCUGAAGGGCCCCAGUGGAAAUUCAAAUGAACUUGUAAACAACUGCAGAUGAGCGAAAGGUGAAAAUGAAUGAUAGAAUAAAUACAGCCCUGACUGAAAUGAGACCUGCCCA